rnacentral:rRNA from 1 species
GUGGGGAAUAUUGGACAAUGGGCGAAAGCCUGAUCCAGCCAUGCCGCGUGAGUGAUGAAGGCCUUAGGGUUGUAAAGCUCUUUCAGUACGGAAGAUAAUGACGGUACCUACAGAAGAAGCCCCGGCUAACUUCGUGCCAGCAGCCGCGGUAAUACGAAGGGGGCUAGCGUUGUUCGGAUUUACUGGGCGUAAAGCGCACGUAGGCGGAUUGGUCAGUUAGAGGUGAAAUCCUGGAGCUCAACUCCAGAACUGCCUUUAAUACUGCCAGUCUAGAGUCCAGAAGAGGUGAGUGGAACUCCUAGUGUAGAGGUGGAAUUCGUAGAUAUUAGGAAGAACACCAGUGGCGAAGGCGGCUCACUGGUCUGGUACUGACGCUGAGGUGCGAAAGCGUGGGGAGCAAACAGGAUUAGAAACCCCUGUAGUCC